rnacentral:lncRNA from 1 species
AAAAAAAUCCAUCUGACUAUUAUCUUUAUGUUUGACCAGGUUUUAACCACUUUUAAACUAUCCUUUUGGACUAGAUCAAAGGAUCAAUUGAUGGUUCAACUUGUCGAACCAAUUAGUUUGGUCUAAUUUUUAAAACAUAUAUUGGGGCUAAUGAUCUCAUCUACGAUCUCAUCUACUGACAAUCAUCAUUUGUGCCAUUGAAGAUGAGAUAGAUAAACUAAAUGAGGUUAAGCGAUUACUAGAUUGAAUGAGGUUUUCUCCAAUACCUUAUCUUUCUUCGGUGCGUGAUUAUUGCUAAAGUUCAAUGAUGUUUAGCUUUGGUUGGUAAGUUUCUUAUCAUAGGCAUUUCUGGGGUGGAAAAAUCUCAAAAACAAAUGGCAGCUUGAUGAUGAAUUUGAGAUUUUUUUGCAUGCGAGUUUUUUUUAUCUUUUGAGGCUUUGGCUAUUAAAAAUGGAGGCCAAAUUUCUACCAAUAUGAAGGUCCUAACAAGAGGCUUUGGCUAUUGAAAAAUGGAGGCCAAAUUUCUAUCCACGUGAAGGUGCUAUCAACCAUUCCUUUUUAUGGAUCAUGUUACCAAGCCUUCCAAUAGUAUAUUGAUAGGACUAAAAUCAGAUCGGAUACC